rnacentral:rRNA from 1 species
UACGGAGGGUGCAAGCGUUGUCCGGAAUCACUGGGCGUAAAGGGCGCGUAGGCGGCUCAUGAAGGCUGUGGUGAAAGUCCGGGGCUCAACCUCGGAUCGGCCGUGGCGACUCGUGGGCUGGAGCACUGUAGAGGCGGGUGGAAUUCCGGGUGUAGCGGUGGAAUGCGUAGAGAUCCGGAAGAACACCAGUGGCGAAGGCAGAUCUCUGGGCCGUAACUGACGCUGAGGAGCGAAAGCAUGGGGAGCGAACAGG